UAUAACCAUGGGAAUCUGGUCAAGCUCCUGGAAGUCAAUCUCACAAUAUUGUGGGGCUCCCCUAUGACUGGGUCCCUUUGGAGUUUUUAACUGUCAGAGUUGUUCCAGCAGUCCGUCAAUUACAGUUCAGGUUUUCCUACCCUGGGCAAUGCUUCCUGCAGUGUGAGUCUUUGCUCCAGGAAGCCACCAUUUCCUGUGUUUGUCUGUCUGUCUCUCCAGUCUUGAGGGCUGCAGAUUGCUCUGUGUCUUCCCCUCUCUUAAGGAUCCUAGAAGAGUUGUUGAUUUUUCAGUCUGUUCAACUAUUUGCAUAUUAGGAUGGAUUGGCAACUUCCAAGCUGAUGGCAGAAGAUGCAAAACUUAGCAAAACUUGGGGACUUUGGCCAAGGAACUACUGGAGGAGGGCAUAGGAAAUGGAGCGUUUCUUGAACCUUUUCCCUUGGCUAUUGACUUCCUUAGAACUUCAGCUCUGUUGUCUCCUUUGAUUUCUCUUCUGGUUAAAUAUGGCUUUCAAGAUGCUCAGUGGCUGCACUGAUUUACAUUCCCACCAGAAGUGUAUGGUGCCAUUUUCUCCAACGGAUGAAUAGAUAAAGAAGAUAUGGUAUAUAUAUAAAAUGGAAUACUACUCAGCCAUAAAAAAGAUGAAACCUUGUCAUUUGAAACAACAUGGAUGGUCCUUGAGGGUCUUAUGCUAAGUGAAAUGUCAGAUGGAGGAAGACAAAUACCAUAUGAUUUCAUUCAUAUAUGGAAGAUAAACAAGCAAACACAUAGAUGCAGAGAACAGAUUGGUGGUUACCAGAGGGGUAGAGGACUGGGAGGAGGGUGAAAGGAGUAAAGGGGCACAUAUGUAAGGUGAUGGAUGGCAACUAGACUUUUGGUAGUGAACACAACAUAGUCUAUACAGAAGUCAAAAUAUAAUGAUAUACACCUGAAGUUUAUAUAAUGUUAUAAACCAAUGUUACUUUAAUAAAAAAAUAAACAAUUAUACUCUUUCUUCUUUCUUACAUUAAUGCCAGAAUUUAAAACAUCUUUAAAGAUGGACAACAUCUCUAUGUGUGUGUGCAUGUGAGAGAGAUAGAGAGGGAGAAAGAGGGAGAGGGAGAGAGAAAAAGAGGGAGAGAGAAAAGACAUAGGUUAAAGAAUGUGUGCUAAAUUCUGGCUUGGCAAGUAAGUUUGGAUUUUUGGAAACUUCCCAAGUUGAUUUCAACGUUCGUACUUAUCACUAGGAAUUUGUUUAAUUUGCCUGUUAAUAUGCUAAGGUUUAUAAUUUACAUGACUUUUUUUCUCACGUAUUCUUUGAGGUAAUUUACUUUUCAAAGUCUACAUGGAUUCCUCUGAGUUUACUUGAAUAAUUGUAAAUAUGGUCUUCAUUUGCAUUUCCAUGUAUAAAGAUGUCUUUGACAAAUACAAGGUCAUUUGGAAAUAUUCUUUUUAUUAAAACACUGACAUUUAGCAAUGAGUUGAAUGUGACUUUAUAAUAUUCACUUUUAACUGUGAAUGAACUAAGCUUAUCAAUAUUAUAUGUUAACAUUGUAUACUGAUUCUUCAAAUUUAAUUUAAGGUAGCUCUAAUCUUUGAGAACAAUUUCUCUAUUUUGCCUAUUUUGUAACUGCCAGCAAUCCUUGCCUCCUGGAUUUACGCCUUAUGUUGUUUCCUCCCACUUUAAACACAGCUUGAUUCAGUAAAUUUUCUCUAGUAUUUUCCAUUGAUUUUAUCACUUCUUAUAGUAUUUACAUAUAUCAAUAACUGUCAAAUGUAUGACCUGUUAAAUAGAAGACUUUAUUUACUAGGAUUCUAGGCAAAAUGCUUAUCUCAAGAAAUGCAGUUAAUGGAUGAUGGAUGACACUUUCCAAGUGACUAGUCAUGGUUGGAAAUGUGUCAAGAUUUAGAGGAAAUGUAGUGAAAAGUGAGCAGUGUGACAGUGUGGUAGUGCUGGGACAAAG
rnacentral:lncRNA from 1 species